rnacentral:tRNA from 1 species
GGGCGAGUGGCGGAACUGGCAUACGCGCACGGCUUAGAACCGUGUCUCUAACGAGGUGAGGGUUCAAGUCCCUCCUCGCCCACCA